rnacentral:rRNA from 1 species
UACGGGGGGGGCAAGCGUUGUUCGGAAUUACUGGGCGUAAAGGGCUCGUAGGUGGCCAACUAAGUCAGACGUGAAAUCCCUCGGCUUAACCGGGGAACUGCGUCUGAUACUGGAUGGCUUGAGUUUGGGAGAGGGACGCGGAAUUCCAGGUGUAGCGGUGAAAUGCGCAGAUAUCAGGAGGAACACCAAUGGCGAAGGCAGCUCGCUGGAACGGUACUGACGCUGAGGCGCGAAAGCGUGGGGAGCAAACAGG